CCUUACGGCCUGACUCUGCUCCUUUCGCUCGCUUGUAUCUCCAAUGGCCACUGGGCUCGGCCUAUGACUUCUUCUGGCCAGUGAAAUGCAGGAGGGAAUGACAUCACCACACUUUUUCCUUUUCCGUGUUAACCAGCAAUAUUCAAAAAUCGACCUGGGUCCCAGAGAAAAAUGGUGGGAAGCAGAGCCACACCCAACCCACAGCAGACAUACAACAGAAGUGAGCACCGUUUCCUGUGUGAACUCACUGCGGUUUGUGGGGGAGCUUUUUACCACAGUAUAAUCUAGCCUCUCCUGACUACAUACACCUCAUAAGGUCGUGAAAUCCAAUAAGGCCCACAACUAAUCUCUUUCCCAACCUCCUCUGCAUGUAGAAGUGGCCACAUGACUGACUGGCAGCCAAUUGAUGGGAGUGGAUGUAGCUGGUGCCAGUUCCCUGCCAUCCAAUAAACCAGCCUUGAGCAGUCCUCCCACUGCACCUCUGCCUACGUGAGAUGCAAGCAAGCAAGGUCCGCUUGGAAGAUCUGUGUUGAAAAUCGGACACAGAACCAUCCUGAAGGUUCCUCCUGGGCCCUGUCCAGUCACUGGAUAUGGGACCAAAGGCAGCAGGCUCCCCGCCUCCCACGCUGCUCCCAGCCCCAAC
ensembl:lncRNA